rnacentral:rRNA from 1 species
UACGUAGGUGACAAGCGUUGUCCGGAUUUACUGGGCGUAAAGAGCGCGCAGGCGGUCGUUCAAGUCGAGUGUGAAAGCCCCCGGCUCAACUGGGGAGGGUCAUUCGAUACUGAUCGACUCGAAGGCAGGAGAGGGUAGUGGAAUUCCCGGUGUAGUGGUGAAAUGCGUAGAUAUCGGGAGGAACACCAGUGGCGAAGGCGAUUACCUGGCCUGUUCUUGACGCUGAGGCGCGAAAGCUAGGGGAGCAAACGGG